UACGUAGGGGGCAAGCGUUGUCCGGAAUCAUUGGGCGUAAAGCACGUGUAGGCGGUUCAGUAAGUCUGCUGUGAAAGUCCAGGGCUCAACCCUGGGAUGCCGGUGGAUACUGUCGGGCUAGAGUGCGGAAGAGGCGAGUGGAAUUCCUGGUGUAGCGGUGAAAUGCGCAGAUAUCAGGAGGAACACCAAUUGCGAAGGCAGCUCGCUGGGACGUGACUGACGCUGAGACGCGAAAGCGUGGGGAGCAAACAGG
rnacentral:rRNA from 1 species